rnacentral:rRNA from 1 species
GAUGAACGCUGGCGGUAUGCUUAACACAUGCAAGUCGAACGGACUCUUCGGAGUUAGUGGCGGACGGGUGAGUAACGCGUGAGAAUCUGGCUUUGGGUUCGGGACAACCACUGGAAACGGUUGCUAAUACCGGAUGUGCCGUGAGGUAAAAGAGUAAUUGCCUGAAGAUGAGCUCGCGUCUGAGUAGCUAGUUGGUGAGGUAAAGGCUCACCAAGGCAGCGAUCAGUAGCUGGUCUGAGAGGAUGACCAGCCACACUGGGACUGAGACACGGCCCAGACGACUACGGGACGCAGCAGUGGAGAAUGUUCCGGAAUGGGCGAAAGACUGACGGAGCAAUACCGCGUGAGGGAAGAAGGCUCUUGGGUUGUAAACCUCUUUUCUUAGGGAAGAACAAAAUGACGGUACCUAAGGAAUCAGCAUCGGCUAACUCCGUG